rnacentral:tRNA from 1 species
GCCUGGGUGGCUUGGUUGGUUAAGCGUCUGACUUUGGCUCAGGUCAUGAUCUCACGGUCUGUGAGUUCGAGCCCCUCAUCGGGCU